GACGAACGCUGGCGGCGUGCCUAAUACAUGCAAGUAGAACGCUGAAGGAGGAGCUUGCUUCUCUGGAUGAGUUGCGAACGGGUGAGUAACGCGUAGGUAACCUGCCUGGUAGCGGGGGAUAACUAUUGGAAACGAUAGCUAAUGCCGCAUAAUAUUGACUAUUGCAUGAUAGUCAGUUGAAAGGUGCAACUGCACCACUACCAGAUGGACCUGCGUUGUAUUAGCUAGUUGGUGGGGUAACGGCUCACCAAGGCGACGAUACAUAGCCGACCUGAGAGGGUGAUCGGCCACACUGGGACUGAGACACGGCCCAGACUCCUACGGGAGGCAGCAGUAGGGAAUCUUCGGCAAUGGACGGAAGUCUGACCGAGCAACGCCGCGUGAGUGAAGAAGGUUUUCGGAUCGUAAAGCUCUGUUGUAAGAGAAGAACGAGUGUGAGAGUGGAAAGCUCACACUGUGACGGUAUCUUACCAGAAAGGGACGGCUAACUACGUG
rnacentral:rRNA from 1 species